GCCAGGCGUGGUGGCCCAUGCCUGUAAUCCCAGCUGCUUGGGAAGCUGAGGCAGGAGGAUCUCAAGUUCAAAGCCAGCCUUAGCAACAAUGAGGCAUUAAGCAACUCAGUGAGACUCUAUCUCUA
rnacentral:sRNA from 1 species